rnacentral:rRNA from 1 species
GACGAACGCUGGCGGCGUGCUUAACACAUGCAAGUCGAACGGAAAGGCCCUGCUUUUGUGGGGUGCUCGAGUGGCGAACGGGUGAGUAACACGUGAGUAACCUGCCCUUGACUUUGGGAUAACUUCAGGAAACUGGGGCUAAUACCGGAUAGGAGCUCCUGCUGCAUGGUGGGGGUUGGAAAGUUUCGGCGGUUGGGGAUGGACUCGCGGCUUAUCAGCUUGUUGGUGGGGUAGUGGCUUACCAAGGCUUUGACGGGUAGCCGGCCUGAGAGGGUGACCGGCCACAUUGGGACUGAGAUACGGCCCAGACUCCUACGGGAGGCAGCAGUGGGGAAUAUUGCACAAUGGGCGGAAGCCUGAUGCAGCAACGCCGCGCGCGGGAUGACGGUCUUCGGGUUGUAAACCGCUUUCGCCUGUGACGAAGCGUGAGUGACGGUAAUGGGUAAAGAAGCACCGGCUAACUACGUG